rnacentral:rRNA from 1 species
AGUGGAUGGGGAGCAACCUAGUUGUGCGUGUGUAAAGGUAGUGCCAAGAAAAGCGAUGAUCAUGUUGAAAAUCAAUUCCCGGUACCCGAAACCGACACAGGUGGGCAAGUAGAGAAUACUAAGGGGCGCGAGGUAACUCUCUCCAAGGAACUCGGCAAAAUGACCCCGUAACUUAGGGAGAAGGGGUGCCACCGAGAGGUGGUCGCAGUGAAGAGGCCCAGGCGACUGUUUAGCAAAAACAUAGGUCUCUGCAAACCCGAAAGAGGAGGUAUAGGGGCUGACGCCUGCCCAGUGCCGGAAGGUUAAAGAAGUUGGUCAGUCUUAGGAUGAAGCUAGCGACUGAAGCCCCGGUGAACGGCGGCCGUAACUAUAACGGUCCUAAGGUAGCGAAAUUCCUUGUCGGGUAAGUUCCGACCCGCACGAAAGGCGUAACGAUCUGGGCGCUGUCUCGGAGAGAGGCUCGGCGAAAUAGGAUUGUCUGUGAAGAUACGGACUACCUGCAUUUGGACAGAAAGACCCUAUGAAGCUUUACUAUAGCUUGGAAUUGUGUUCGGGCUUCCUGUGCGCAGGAUAGGUGGGAGGCGUAGAAGGUAUUCUUGUGGGGAUACUGGAGCCAACGGUGAGAUACCACACUCAGGAGGCUAGAAUUCUAACUUAAUUAAGGACAGUUUCAGGUGGGUAGUUUGACUGGGGCGGUCGCCUCCAAAAAGGUAACGGAGGCGUACAAAGGUUCCCUCAGACUGGUUGGAAAUCAGUCGAAGAGUGCAAAGGCAGAAGGGAGCUUGACUGCGAGAAGUACAGUUCGAGCAGGGUGGAAACACGGUCUUAGUGAUCCGACGGUGCUGUGUGGAAGGGCCGUCGCUCAACGGAUAAAAGUUACUCUAGGAUAACAGGCUGAUCUCCCCCAAGAGUUCACAUCGACGGGGAGGUUUGGCACCUCGAUGUCGGCUCAUCGCAACCUGGGGCGGAAGUACGUCCCAAGGGUUGGGCUGUUCGCCCAUUAAAGCGGUACGUGAGCUGGGUUCAGAACGUCGUGAGACAGUUCGGUCCAUAUCCGAUGUAGGCGUGAGAAUAUUGAGAGGAGCCUUCCUUAGUACGAGAGGACCGGGAAGGACGCACCGCUGGUGUACCUGUUAUGAUGCCAAUUGUAAACGCAGGGUAGCCAAGUGCGGAGAGGAUAACCGCUGAAAGCAUCUAAGUGGGAAGCCCACCUCAAGAUGAGUAUUCUGGUGUAAGGUCAUGGGAAGACGACCCGUAAAUAGGCACGAGGUGGAAGUGCAGAGAUGUAUGAAGCCGAAGUGUACUAAUAGACCGUCGGCUUGACC